rnacentral:lncRNA from 7 species
CCAGACCGUGGCACGGAGGGACCCCAGGCCGUGCCCUCCCCGCUGCAUGCGGGUGGAUUUGGGGUGGAUGGGGGUUGGGGAGGGGGGGGUCCUGGGGAGCGCUGCCCCCACCUCGGGGUGCUCCCGGCUGCUGCUGCACUCUCGAGGGACUUCACAGCCACAGUGGGGAGAAUGAGUCAGCCAGGAAGGUGAGCGCAGCGCCCGGCCCCUCGCCCCACGGGGCCCUGCGCCCUUUGGGAGCCGGGAAGGGACCCAGGCGUCCCCCCACCCACCCAUCCCCAAAGCCAACCCGGGUGUCACAUAGGGUCGGCACGGCUGUGGGAUGGGGGCUGAGCAGCCCCUCUGCCCAACAGCACCCGUUGGAGUGAGGCAGUGGGUGGCGGGUGGGCUCCGGCCGGGUUGGUGGCCCCAAUGUGUGCCCAAUGGGUGGGUGGGGGUCCUGGGGGUCCCGGUGCCGAAGGGGAGCCCGGAUGAGGGCUGGGGAAGCGGUCCCCACUCUUUGAAAGAAGAAAACAGCGAGCACACAAGAGAGGAAAUGGGUUGAAGAGAUGAGAGGGUAAACAGCACCCACCCGCCCCACAGCCAGGGGGGUGAGGCGCCCCAUAGCGGGACCCCAUCUCGUCGCGCGCCCACCCAGCUGCCCCCCAAACCUCGAGCUCCCCACGGCCGUGGGGCUGAGCCCUCAGCAGCGUGGGCCGUGCGGGCGCACAUCACGGCACGGCCCCAUCCUGGUGCUCAGCCCCACGCCGCGCAACGCAGCGCUCAAGGCCGCGUCCCCACCGCCGUCCCCACCACCUCCUGCAGCGGGGACCCGCCGCCCCUCACCCAGCAGGGCCCACCCACCACCCGUAGGGCCCCAUCCCAGCCACCCCGACCCCGACCUACCCCCAAAGCCAUCCCCGUGCCACGUGCCGGCAGAGGGGACGCCGCGGUGGCCGCGCGGUGCCACCCAUCCCACCCCUCCCAUCCCUCCGCGGGGUUCGCUCGACGCCGGCAUCCCACCGCCAGCCCCAAAGCCACCCGGAAACGGCGCCGUGGUCACCCCACAUCCCCCCCCAGCCCCACAUCCCCACCGCCCCCCCGGGUGGCAGCGGGGUGGGCGCACCGCUCACCUGGCGCCUGUGCCCGCGUGGCCGGGCGCUGCUCCGGCAGAGGCAGGGAAGGGUGCAGGGUGCUGCUGUGUGAACUUGGCCCCGCUCCCCGCUGCACUUCAGCUCGGAUCCCACCUCAAAAGGAGUCGACGCCCACACCCCGGGUCACGCACCUCCCAGCCCCGCUUCCCAGAACACACACAGCAUUAACCCUUCUGCAGCCGACGCCAACCCGGAACGGGGCGAGGGGGAACCCCGACCCCCCCCUUCCUCCCCCCCCCCCCCCCUUCCCAGCGCAGGAAAUUCCCAGGGGUGCCGGCACGGUUGGCACCGCACCGCAGCCAUCCCCUCCCCAUCGCCGCGGUGGCACCGUGCAGCUCCCGGCCCUCCCGCCGCCCCGGGGCUGGGCGAUGGGUGCCGGCUGCUCACUGCCGGCCACGGCCAGGAGCCGGGCUGCCACCGCAGGGCUGGGCUCGGUGCGGCGUGCCACGGCCUGUCCCCGGCCCCCUGCGCAUGCCCGUCCUGCUCUGCACCAUAGCCAGCCCCGACUGCGCCAGGCCCAUGGGUGCUGCUGUGCCACCAUAGCUGCUGUGCCACCAUAGCCCCAGUGCCAGCCCAUCCAUGGGUGCUGCUGUGCCACCAUAGCCAGCCCUACAGGUGCUGCUGUGCCCCUAUAGCCAGCCCCAGUGCCAGGCCAUCCAUGGGUACUGUUGUGCCCCUAUAGCCAGCCCCACAGGUGCUGCUGUGACCCCAUAGCUGGCCCCAAUACCAGCCCAUCCACGGGUCCUGCUGUGUCCCAAUAGCCAGCCCAUCCAUGGAUGCUGUUGUGCCCCCGUAGCCAGCCCUACAGGUGCUGCUGUGUCCCCAUAGCCAGGCCAUCUAUGGGUGCUGCUGUGACCCCAUAGCCAGCCCCAAUACCAGCCCAUCCACGGGUCCUGCUAUGACCCCGUAGCCAGCCCCACAGGUGCUGCUGUGCCCCCAUAGCCAGCCCCAAUGCCAGGCAAUCCAUGGGUCCUGCUGUGCCACUACAGUCACCUCCAAGAGUCCUACUGUGACCCCAUAGCCAGCCCCACUGCUAGGCCUAUAGGUCGUGCCGUGCCCCUUACAGCCAUCCCAUCCAUGGGACCUGCUGUGCCCCCAUAGCCAGCCCCACUGCUAGGCCCAAGGGUCCUGCUGCGCCCCCAUAGCCAGCCCCAAUGCCCAACCCGUGGGUCCUGCUGCGCCCUCAUAGCAGACCCCAAUACCAAGCCAUCCCCGGUUGCAGCUGUGCCCCUAUAUCUGACCCCAGUGCUGAGCCCACGGGUCCUAUCACACAGUAUAGUGGCAGACACGGCUGCUGCGGGGAGCCUGGCACCAAAACCAUGAGCACACCGUGACCCAGGGAGGGGGGCUCUCAGAUGGCCCCAGCCACCCCACGGCACCCAUCCUCCUCCAUUCCACACCCCAUGGGCACAGCCCACCCCCCCCCCCCCCCCCCCCCCCCGGCCCCCCGCUCCACUCCCCGGGGCAGGCUCAGGCUUCUUGCAAUGCCCCCAUAAUUACACCCUCUGCGUCCCCAGCCAAACAGCAAUUAGCACCCGAGCUGCAGCCCCACACCCCAGCACCCGCCCCGGCCGCCCACACCAACACAGCACCCGGAUGGGCAGUGCCAUGGGGCCGCAGUGGGGCUGCCCACCUUCCCCCCCCCCCCCCCUUCAGAUCCCACCCACAGCCCCACGCAGCCGUGCCAGCCACAGGGAGGGCGGCAGGAGGCAGAAAGGGGAAGAGCACUGCAGCUGCCCCACAUGUCGGGGGGGGGGGGGGGUGUAAUGCUGGGGGGAGGGGGGGGGCCCUCCAGCAACGUUCUCAGAAAGAAGCUGCUGUGCGUUGUGCAAGAGCUCAGCCCCACGGGAGGGCACGCAGAGGGGCAGCAGCCACCCCAUGGCGUCUCCGUGGGCACCUCCGUGUCACUGCAGCUCAGCAGCUGCGUUCCCAGCGCACCGUGAUGCUCCGGGCUGCCAGGACCCGGAGGUGGGCGCAGGACCCCGGAGGUGGGCAUGGGACCCACACCAAGAAGCCCAUGAGGGAGGGAGGGAGCGUGGCACCUGCCUGCCAACCCUGCCCUUUGCUCCCCAUAAAGGAGGGGAACGGCGCCAGCCCCCCCUGGCCCAGGUGUGCCAGGUGCUAAGGGCGGGAGAUAAGGUGGGCGAGGCGGGCAGGGAGGGGCUCACAUGGGCACGCAGCCCUGACUCAGGGUUCCCGUUGGUGGCCGGGCCCCAUUGGGGGUGACUCACCGCGGCCCCCCCACCCUGGGGGUGUUGCAACCAUCCCCGGCGCCAGCGCCGGCCGCAGAGGGGGUGCAGCACCCAGCUGGGGGGGGGGGAGAGGGGGGGAUGGGGGGGUGCACCCUAUGGGGAUCUCUCCGGUGUCCGCUGGGCUGCUGGAGAGCCACGCUGCAUCCUCACCUGGCACCGUUUGGGAUGCACGGAGCCGGGAUGGGACACGGCCCCAAAAGCAUCCCAGCACCGGCACAGCACCGGUCCAUAGGGCAGCGCGGGCACCGAACCACGGCCACCAUUGGGAUCCUGACGGCCCCCAACAGCACCGGGAUGGAGGGUGUGAGGAGCGCCCCACGAAGCGCCCCACUCCUGGAGCUGCUGACCCCGGG